rnacentral:rRNA from 1 species
ACGCUCGACACCUACGGGAGACAGCAGUGGGGAAUAUUGCACAAUGGAGGAAACUCUGAUGCAGCGACGCCGCGUGAGCGAAGAAGUAUUUCGGUAUGUAAAGCUCUAUCAGCAGGGAAGAAAAAGGACGGUACCUGACUAAGAAGCUCCGGCUAAAUACGUGCCAGCAGCCGUGGUAAUCUGAGGCGGCUGGCAAGGC